rnacentral:ncRNA from 1 species
UGCGACGAGUCGAGUGGAUCUGUAAUUAAUGAUCCUUCGAUACCAGAGGCACAAAGACGUAAGUCACCUGUCGGAUUUCAGGGUGUCGGAAAGAAGCUUAGUGGACGAAG